rnacentral:rRNA from 1 species
UACGUAGGGUGCAAGCGUUACUCGGAAUUACUGGGCGUAAAGCGUGCGCAGGCGGCUCGGAAAGCCAGAUGUGAAAUCCCAGGGCUUAACCUUGGAAUGGCAUUUUUAACUCCCGAGCUAGAGUAUGUCAGAGGGGGGUAGAAUUCCACGUGUAGCAGUGAAAUGCGUAGAGAUGUGGAGGAAUACCGAUGGCGAAGGCAGCCCCCUGGGAUAAUACUGACGCUCAGGCACGAAAGCGUGGGGAGCAAACAGG